rnacentral:lncRNA from 1 species
GAAAAGAAGAGGGAAAAAAAUCACUAGGGAGAGCAUUAAACUUCUGCUUGACAUAUGAAGGUUUCAAGAAUAAGAGAAAACAUUUCCUUUCUACAAUCUCAUGAUAGAAGACCAGGAGAGGAGAUGGCAGCCCAUGAUGAUAGUACAGAAGAUGCACUAAGUCUGCUUUCAUGGAGACAGUGGAUUAACUGGAGUAUAGCUGAGUAA